rnacentral:lncRNA from 1 species
UCUUCCCCAAUCCUUCUCGAAACCCUUCUUUGCUUCUAAGCUCCCUAAUUCUCCUCUCUCUUCUCUACUUCUAAUCCCUACCCUUAUCUCUCUGUAUCUCUCUCUGUCUCUCUCUCAUUCCCAUCAUCUCCCAAUUCACGCUCCUCAAUCCGAGGUCUCAUCGGAUCGCGAUUGGGAUCAGGUUGGUCACGCCAUCAUCCCGGUUAGCCAUCCAUCUCCAUCGAGGGUUGCUAACAGGUCCGGUACAUAACAAUUGGUAUCAGAGCAGUUUCGAUCCCAGGGAAGGGAUGAAACUUAUACUUGCAUCAUGGUGGGAUAUCACAAGAAUGGAGCAGUAAUGGAUCUCGAGUAGCACCUGGAGCAAGAACUCAAGUGGUAGCAUCAGAUCUACCUGGGAAGGAUCACAGUAGCGACCGGAGACAUUGCCACUACGAUAACAAGGUGGUAUCAGAUUGCAACUAGUAGAGAGGCGAUUUGAUUUUAUAAAGCUAUAACAUCAGGUAUUGUAGAAAUCUUUGCAUCCUUUUGAAUCAUUGAUUGCAUGUAUGCAAGAAUUGGUUAAUAAGGGAUCAGACCUGAUAAACAUCACAAGAAUCUUUUUCAUUGCUACUUGAAUCAAAUUGAUAGAGGGGUCAUAGAAGCAACAAGUUCUUGGUAGUAUCAUAGUUAAAAUUGGGCCAGUGAAGGGGAAUUUCAUCAAACACCUUGCAGGCAUCAGGUAAUCAAGUUUUGUUCCACAAUUUUAAUUCCAGAAUUGAGAUACAAUUGGUUAAAUUGCUGCAAAUGGAAAUAUAUUGAAGGAUUAGACAGCUGGUUAGUGUUCUCUUGAUUGGAACAGUCAUCAGAUCCCAAAGAACAUCAUAGGCACCACGAUAGUUCAUUGAAGCCAAUAGAAAAAUGGCUAAUGGAACAAGGUUGCAACAACAAACCACUAGCUAUAAUCAAAGCUUUGAAGAAGCAUUACAAAGUGCUCGGGAUGUUAAUCAAAAGUUAGAUGUCAUAAUUGAAGCACUACAAAAGGAAGAGGCAAGGAGGCACGAAAUCAUGAUGCAGGAGAAUGCCCGCAGACAUGAACAACUCCUAGAGUUGAUUAGGAGCCGAUUUGUGCAUGCUAGAGAAGAAGAGAUAACAGUGCAGGUUCCAAAAGAAGAGAAAAAGCUAAUACCCAUACCCAUUCCUCUAGAGAAAAGAGUGAGUUCACUAACUAAUUCCGUAAUCGACCAACCAGCUGCAGUGAAGGAAGUAGAGCAAAAGCACAAAACGAGUCUACAGAUUGAGGCCAACAGGAUGUGUAAAGUGAAGUUGAGGGACAGUGUUAGCAAGCCGGAGGAGCUGCUGAAGCCGCUUGCAGCACAGCCACCUCUAUUCAAGCCUGCCCACAAUGCCCUAAACGCCUACGCGGCUUCAACAAAAUUUGGAAGUACUGCAGAAGCUGCCAAGAACAUAGCUCACAAUUCUAAAGAAAGCAUUGAUUAUUAUCUUAUCGAAGGGGCUGUACCAAGUGAGCAAACGAAGACGCAAGGGCUAAGGGAAGAAUACGGAGAGGAGUUUAUUACAGAAAGGCAAUGUGAGAAUAGCCCCCUGCAUAUGUUACCGACACAGAAAAAGGUUGAAAUGGGUGUUGAAUCUGAAACAGCAAAAGAAGAAGAAAGGGAGCUACAAAAAGUAGAUGAAGGGAAUGUCUAUGAGGCUAUAGGUAUCCAGGAGUCAGGCAACCAAACCCAAUUAAUUUUGAAUGAUGAUAGAAACCUACAUAGCCUCAUUGACUUCGGGAUUGCAAAGGCUACCCAAGUUGAAUCUACUACUUUUGCAACCUUGAGAACGAUAGCGGACUGUGAUCACAAGAUGCUAAACAAAAGUUAUUACCCUCAGUUUGCAAAGAAUGAGCGAGAACAUCAGUUCCUUGCUGAUUCAAGAAAAUUGGGGCUCAAAGAUUCAGAUGCAGUGCUUGGAGUUUAUUGGAUGAAGGAAUUUAGGCAAGUGCCUUUUGAUCCAGGACCUAACAAGGUAACAAUUCAUAGUAUUGAAGAAGCUUCUCACAUGCCUAACAUCACAAAUGAAAUGCCCAUGGUAAUCAAGCAUAGAGCACAAUUACUAGCAGCUCAGCCCUAUAUGAUUAAAUCUGGAGCAACAAUGGAGAAGAUGCAUUCUUGUAUACAAAAGCUACAUAGAGAAAUUGAAGAUGAAGGUAGUAAGCCAGCUACACCACAUGGUUGCAAUCGAUCUUCUAUAUUGGGAACAAGUACAGUUUUAAGCCCAGAAAAUAGACCCCUUGCUUAUCUCAGUCCAAUAUGGAACCAAAUUCAUUAUGUGCAGUCCACCUAUGAGAACGAAUUCAUUGCAAUUCUAUGGGAAGAGAGCAAUCUGUAUCAUGCCAAGUCCUUCCCGACAAUGGAAUUUCUGUGGCUCGAUGGAAAUAACACUUGGAAGUGGAUUAGCAGUUAUGAGAAUUACUGUAAGCUACACCAAAUCAGUAAUCAACAAAAGGUGGAAAUUGCAACAAUGUUGAGGCAGCAAAUGAGACCACAAGACUUGCGGGUUCAAAUGCUAAGUCCAAUUCUUAGUCUGGCAGAGGCUUGCUAUGUGUGGGAUUAUGUGAAUGAGUACAAGAAGCUAGGAACUGUGCUUAAGAUGCCUCACCCAUGCUCGCGAUUUCUGGCCUAUGAACAAGACAAACUGCAGGAAUCUGAUGAAUUGAUUGCCUAUCUAAACAAUGGAUUGAAUCAAAAGCAUCAAGGAAGAUCCAUCUAUAAGAUGGAGACAAUUGCAAUUAUGCUGGUGGUGGCCACAUCGGAACAAAAUGUAAAACACAAGCAGUUAGUCAGCAGGAUAAACCAUGGAGACCACAAACAACUACUGGAACAGAAGGAUCACAUUGUUAUCCAGCAACUAGAGCAAAACUGUAAUGUGGGCUUAAGAGCUAAGAAGAAAAUUAGGCUCAAACAAUGCCACUAUGGGCUGUCCCCUGCAAGAUGGUGGAAGAAAGAGCAGGUCAUACACUUCUUUGAAGAACCACCAAACAAGCAACAACAGAGGAAAGAGUAUAAUGCUGAUAAAAGAAGAAGUAAAGGAGUUUUUGAGGUGAAAGAGCAAUUAUGCUUGAAGUUGUUACUCUGUGAGCAACCUAUCAUGUCUCUGGAAGGGUAUCUGAGGCUCACAAUUAACCAAUUUGGACUUUACUAUAUCUCGGAGCAAACAAGAUCGGCGGCGCGCAGGUUGCGACUACCUGAUGGUCCCAAGGGUGAACUCCUGCCCCAACAAGGCCGCCGUCCAUGCUACCAGCCGGAGGAGAUGGUCGAGUGUAGACAUAAUUGGAAAACACCUCAGAUCGGCGUGAAGGGGGGCAAGAAAACAGAACCGAUAUUAGAAAAUGGCUUAAAAGAAGCAAUUUUGAAGAAGAAGAAUGUGCCGCGGGGGGAAACCAAUGGGAGCCCCAAACCAGUCAGCAAGAUCCAUCCUUGAGGACAAGGAUGAUUUUAAGGGGAAGGGAUUGUAACAACCCUGAAGAAUAAAUGGUAGAAGUAGUAGUAGCAUUAGUAGUUAGAUGUAGAAGAGGAGUAAAGGUAAACUUUACAAAGUAGAGCAGAGAAGUGACAGCAGGAGGUUGGUGAGGAGUGAGCUCGGCGGAGCGAUCCGGCGAGAAGGCGCUUGGGCGGAACUCCAGCGGCAAGGCGCCUUCGAAGGGGCCCAGGCGAGCUCGACGGAAUCCAUGUCGUUGGGGCGGAGGAGAAAGCUGGCGGAUUGGGCGGUCGGAUUACCGGAUCGGGCAUAAAACGCGAACCCAAGCCCCGCCGGGUCGCGGAUGAUGCGAAGAAGGAGGAGUCCGGCACCCGCCUACCCACUUACCGGCACUACCGGGUAGGGAGGCCCAGAGAGGUCGCCCAACAACCCGAAUGGCAGCCCAGCCCAUCAGCAUCUCAUUUUGUCACUUUGCUACUUAGCCCUCAAAGAUUAUGUAAUUUCCACUACAGUUUAAGUCCUAAGAAGUAUAAGUACGAGAAUGUAUGGCAAACAGAGGCAUCGAUGAAAUGAAAUAUUGCUUAUCUUCUUCCCCAAUCCUUCUCUAAACCCUUCUUUGCUUCUAAGCUCCCUAAUUCUCCUCUCUCUUCUCUACUUCUAAUCCCUAUCCUCAUCUCUCUGUAUCUCUCUCUGUCUCUCUCAUUCCCAUCAUCUCCCAAUUCACGCUCCUCAAUCCGAGGUCUCAUCGGAUCGCGAUUGGGAUCAGGUUGGUCACGCCAUCAUCCCGGUUAGCCAUCCAUCUCCAUCGAGGGUUGCUAACAG